UUUAUAAAAUAUAUUCUAAAAAUAUGAUCCAUAUAUUGUUCUUUUUCUUGUGUUUGGUGUCUAGCAUCACUUGCCAUCGAUUUGAUGAUAUAGUGAAAGAUGAUUUGGAAAUAGAGAAACAGUUAAAAAUUAUCAAUAAGUCUCCUGUCAAUAGUAUUCAUACAAAAUUUGGAUACAUUGUUGAUUGUAUUGAUAUUAAUAAGCAACCGGCCUUUGAUCAUCCUUUGCUAAUUAAUCAUAAAUUGCAG